rnacentral:rRNA from 1 species
AUGGACAAGUUUGGCUCGGCGUGCGCUGGAUGGAAAAUUGGAUGGAUCAACAUUGCCGGCAGGCUAACCUUGGUCUGGGUUGUCCUCUCGGCGUUAUUAACCUUCUAGAUGAUCUCGAUUGCUCAACCAAAGUGGCUGGACAAGAUGGUGGACAAAAUCAGGAGGCCUUUCCUCUGGACUGGUGAGAGCUCUGCAGUGGGUGGAAAAUGCUUGGUCAGAUGGUCACUGGUCUGUAGGCCACUGGAAUUCGGAGGACUGGGAAUUUCUAACUUAUACAUCCACAACAUUGCUCUUCGCUUGCGAUGGCUGUGGCAGCAAGCCACAAUCCCGAACAGACCUUGGGAUGGCCUACCCUUCCCCUCGGACAAGCUAACACGAAGGAUAUUUCAGGCAAGUACAGUGAUCAGCAUAGGCAAUGGUGAGAGCUUCAAAUUUUGGCACAGCAUUGGCACGCUGGAAUCAUCCUCAAAGACGCAGCGCCCCACCUAUUCGCCCACAGCAGAGGAUCCAAACUAA